rnacentral:rRNA from 1 species
UACGGAGGGUGCAAGCGUUAUCCGGAUUUACUGGGGUUAAAGGGUGCGCAGGCGGUUAUGUAAGUCAGUGGUGAAAUCUCUAGGCUUAACCUGGAAAUUGCCGUUGAUACUAUAUAUCUUGAAUGCUGUGGAGGUAAGCGGAAUAUGUCAUGUAGCGGUGAAAUGCUUAGAUAUGACAUAGAACACCUAUUGCGAAGGCAGCUUACUACGCAGAUAUUGACGCUCAUGCACGAAAGCGUGGGGAUCAAACAGG